CCUACGGGCGGCAGCAGUGAGGAAUAUUGGUCAAUGGGCGAGAGCCUGAACCAGCCAAGUCGCGUGAGGGAGUACUGCCCUAUGGGUUGUAAACCUCUUUUGUCGGGGAGCAAAAGCCGGUCGUGUCCGGCUGUGAGAGUACCCGCAGAAAAAGCAUCGGCUAACUCCGUGCCAGCAGCCGCGGUAAUACGGGGGAGGCGCGCGUUAUACGGAUUUAUUGGGUUUAAAGGGUGCGCAGGCGGAGUUUUAAGUCAGCGGGAAAAUCGUGGGGCUCAACCCCCUCCAGCCGUUGAAACUGGGGAUCUUGAGUGGGCGAGAGGUAUGCGGAAUGCGUGGUGUAGCGGUGAAAUGCAUAGAUAUCACGCAGAACCCCGAUUGCGAAGGCAGCAUACCGGUGCACAACUGACGCUCAGGCACGAAAGCGUGGGUAUCGAACAGGAUUAGAUACCCCUGUAGUC
rnacentral:rRNA from 1 species